GAUGUCUCUAAAAGAAUUCAACAAAAAAAGAUGUAAAGGAAUUUCAAUUUUAUGAUAAAUGAUGGAUAUGCUAUGUGAAAAGGCAAACCUGAUUUGUCUCCUAUCUUUGUUGAUCUUAUGUCUAAGCACAUAACAUCAGUGUUUAGAGAGUGCUGUUUAUCAUCCAGAUUUUUCUCGAUACGUAACUUCAUUCUUCAAGCCAAAUUCAACUUCAUCCUUACAAAGCUCCGAGCCAGGUCGAUAAGCGCGAUUUUCUAAUCGCGUUUCGACACAUUUUACUACGCCUGUUUUACUCAUUAACGCUCUUUCCAACUGUAUUAUCUCAUUUCCCAACAUUUCCAUUUCCUUCUGCACCUA